rnacentral:rRNA from 1 species
UGGGGAAUAUUGGACAAUUGGCGCAAGCCUGAUCCAGCCAUGCCGCGUGAGUGAUGAAGUCCCUAGGGUUGUAAAGCUCUUUCACCGGUGAAGAUAAUGACGGUAACCGGAGAAGAAGCCCCGGCUAACUUCGUGCCAGCAGCCGCGGUAAUACGCAGGGGGCUAGCGUUGUUCGGAUUUACUGGGCGUAAAGCGCACGUAGUCGGACUUUUAAGUCAGGUGUGAAAUCCCGGGAAUCAACCCCGGAACUGCCGUUGAUACUGGAAGUCUUGAGUAUGGUAGAGGUGAGUGGAAUUCCGAGUGUAGAGGUGAAAUUCGUAGAUAUUCGGAGGAACACCAGUGGCGAAGGCGGAUCACUGGAACAUUACUGACGCUGAGGUGCGAAAGCGUGGGGAGCAAACAGG